UUAGAUGACAUGGGGGUGAGUAAAUUAUCAGGAAAUUUUAAUUUAAAAGUGGACUAAUCCUUUAAACGGGCUCUGCAGCGUUUUUGAAAGAAUCCAUUUUCGAGGGUCGAAAAUGCCGGAGUAGUGUAAACGACAAGCGUAACUGUAGCAAAAGUUAUGCGUUUUAAAAUGAAAACGCACUAGUGUAAGCAAGGCCUACAACAGUGCCCCCACUAAAUAAAUAUAGCAUUCUACCGGGCGGGCACCUGGAGGAGGCUUCUGCUGCUAUGGAGGCAGCUGCACGGAGUAGCAUCUGCCUGCACAACCGGAGGCUGCAUUUUCAGGACCGCAGUCCUAGGACCGCAUUUCUAGGACCCUAGAUGUUUAGUGACAACGCCACCUACCGAAUUACAGGACCAGUGACCGCAUGUUUUUCUGGAAGAUGGACGAUAUUCAGAGUAAACACAUAACAAUCCAAGAAGGAAGAUCCUUUCCUGGACUAAAGAGAUGCACUACAUGCUGAAAGGAGUUCCUCUGCCCGUUCUGCAGUUCUGCUUUGUUUCACCCAACAAAGUGGAGCAAAGUGAAAUCCCAUUUGGAGAGCCAUUUCAAACGCGCAGUUCUCUAUGAAAACCAUCAUAUAUGGCCUGGCUUUGCUGCAGAAUUUCUCUGCGGGAUGCUGAGAAGGCCUUCUUCUCUGGUCCGGAUUAUCAUCACAGUGAAGUGGAAGAAUUUAAUAGAGUGAGAGAGAAACAAUUGAGAAAAGUGGGGAGAACAUCCAAUUGGAGUCAGUGAAGACGUUGUCACUGAAGUUCUUUCUGUGUGGUUCACGUCACGAACAAAUUUGUUUUUGUGUGUUCAACUGUUGUAAUAUAUUAUUUUAUAAAAUAUACACAAUCUUAAAUAUA